rnacentral:sRNA from 1 species
GUCCCAAGAAGCAUCUGAAGCGGGUAGCAGCUCCAAAGCAUUGGAUGCUGGAUAAAUUGACCGGUGUGUUUGCUCCUCGUCCAUCCACCGGUCCUCACAAGUUGAGAGAGUGUCUCCCCCUCAUCAUUUUCCUAAGGAACAGACUUAAGUAUGCCCUGACAGGAGAUGAAGUAAAGAAGAUUUGCAUGCAGCGGUUCAUUAAGAUCGAUGGCAAGGUCCGAACUGAUAUAACCUAUCCUGCUGGAUUCAUGGAUGUCAUCAGCAUUGACAAGACGGGAGAGAAUUUCCGUCUGAUCUAUGACACCAAGGGUCGCUUUGCUGUACACCGUAUUACACCUGAGGAGGCCAAGGUGAGUGUGGCAAGCAAGCUGGGUCUUUACUCAGUAUAGUUACUUAGUUCUAAGGGCCUGCAUUGAGUACGAGUGCUGCUUGUAAUGAGGUGGGUAUUGAUUACUUAAAAUCUCAUACCUGGAAAUAUCUAGCUAACAAUUUGAUGAGAUUCUAUCUUACAUGUAACUUUUGGUCAUGUUAUUAAAAGUCUGGCUAAUAGCUGUAGAGCAUUGAUGGAUACCUAAAAUUGAUCCCCAUUUGAAGUUUAACUUCCUCAGCAGAUUUUCUUUUUUUGUGGUAGAAAUGAAUUCCAGUUGAACCGUGACUUCCUGGUGUCUCUUAAGAGUCAAGGAGAGUGAUUUCUGAGAACUUGUUUAUUGGGUACCUGAAGUAUGAACCCUUUGCCAUGUCUCCAUUUGUGGGAGUAGCUUUACUUUGGGGAGGGGAAGGUGUCGAUGGAGGAAACAGACAGUCCUUGAGGCACUAGUUUGAGGUUUAAAAAAAGAUUACAGUCUUUGAUUAUUUAAUCCAGUUUGUUUUGAUGGUUUUACACAAAAGUUUAGGGCUGUUUGGAUUGUUGGCUGUAAAUGAAGGUUAAUUUAAUUGACUGAUGUGGCUCCUAAUUUCCUUUUGCACAGCCUUGUUAUCAGCAGGCUGGAGGGCACGUCCAGUGGGAUCUGUGAUUAUUUGAUUUACUUCAAGGAUAUCAGGGAGUAGAGAUCCAAAAUUGAAAUGCUAUGUGAAGUAUUUGUUGAUUGGAUGAACUGGUAAUGUAAUUGCUGUUUGUGAGACAAAACUCAGUCGUGAUGUACAGGGAGCCAUUAAGAUAAAGUUGAGUUGAAGGGAAGAAUUCCCAGGGCCCCAUAAGGCUUAAAGAGCCUGGGAAACUGGAGUGGCAUUUAUAUUGGAGGAGUGGAGGGCAAUGGUGGAUGUUAGGAGGAUGAGCCUAGAGAAGGGCUGUAUGCAACAUACACUUGAGGGUGGAAAGAACGAUCAGCGCCACAAUUAAUCUGCAGCAGUUAGGGAAACCAUGGUUCCCGUAUAGGGUUAAAAAGUAUAUGUGAGAUGGAUUGAAUGUGGCUAACCCUUGUAUUUUUCUAGUAUAAGUUGUGCAAAGUGAGAAAGAUCUUUGUGGGCACAAAAGGAAUCCCUCAUCUGGUGACUCAUGAUGCCCGCACCAUCCGCUACCCCGAUCCCCUCAUCAAGGUGAAUGAUACCAUUCAGAUUGAUUUGGAGACUGGCAAGAUUACUGAUUUCAUCAAGUUCGACACUGGUAACCUGUGUAUGGUGACUGGAGGUGCUAACCUGGGAAGAAUUGGUGUGAUCACCAACAGAGAGAGGCACCCUGGAUCUUUUGACGUGGUUCACGUGAAAGAUGCCAAUGGCAACAGCUUUGCCACUCGACUUUCCAACAUUUUUGUUAUUGGGAAGGGCAACAAAUCAUGGAUUUCUCUUCCCCGAGGAAAGGGUAUCCGCCUCACCAUUGCUGAA